rnacentral:rRNA from 1 species
AUCGCUUUGCUGCUGUCAACAUCCUCCUCCUCCUGCCUGCUAAACGGCGUCGAAGGUGACCGCAUUCGUCACAAGAAGGGCCUACGUCAGGGUGAUCCGCUGUCCCCCCUCCUCUUCAUCCUCACAAUUGACCCGCUUCAGAGGUUGUUCGAGGCUGCGGCAGUUGCUGAUGAGCUGCAGCCGCUCCUUGUCCGUGGUGCUCGACUGCGUGUCAGUCUAUACGCCGAUGAUGCGGUGGUCUUCGCCAACCCGCAGCGUGAAGAGGUCGACAAGAUCCUAAGGCUGCUUUAG